rnacentral:rRNA from 1 species
AUUGAACGCUGGCGGCAGGCCUAACACAUGCAAGUCGAGCGGAUGAGUGGAGCUUGCUCCAUGAUUCAGCGGCGGACGGGUGAGUAAUGCCUAGGAAUCUGCCUGGUAGUGGGGGACAACGUUUCGAAAGGAACGCUAAUACCGCAUACGUCCUACGGGAGAAAGCAGGGGACCUUCGGGCCUUGCGCUAUCAGAUGAGCCUAGGUCGGAUUAGCUAGUUGGUGAGGUAAAGGCUCACCAAGGCGACGAUCCGUAACUGGUCUGAGAGGAUGAUCAGUCACACUGGAACUGAGACACGGUCCAGACUCCUCCGGGAGGCAGCAGUGGGGAAUAUUGGACAAUGGGCGAAAGCCUGAUCCAGACAUGCCGCGUGUGUGAAGAAGGUCUUCGGAUUGUAAAGCACUUUAAGUUGGGAAGAAGGGCAGUAAGUUAAUACCUUGCUGUUUUGACGUUACCGACAGAAUAAGCACCGGCUAACUUCGUGCCAGCCGCCGCCGUAACAC